UUGGAGGGCAAGUCUGGUGCCAGCAGCCGCGGUAAUUCCAGCUCCAAUAGCGUAUAUUAAAGUUGCUGCAGUUAAAAAGCUCGUAGUUGAAUUUCGGAACCAAUAUGUUGGUUGUGCCUCGGUACGUACUGGCAUUGUUGGUUUCUCCCUUCUGACGAACUAUGAUGUCAUUAAUUUGGUGUCAUGGGGAAUCAGGACUGUUACUUUGAAAAAAUUAGAGUGUUUAAAGCAGGCUCACGCUUGAAUACAUUAGCAUGGAAUAAUGAAAUAGGACGUUUGAUUCUAUUUUGUUGGUUUCUAGGAUUGACGUAAUGAUUAAUAGGGAUAGUUGGGGGCAUUAGUAUUCAAUUGUCAGAGGUGAAAUUCUUGGAUUUAUUGAAGACUAACUACUGCGAAAGCAUUUGCCAAGGAUGUUUUCAUUAAUCAAGAACGAAAGUUAGGGGAUCGAAGACGAUCAGAUACCGUCGUAGUCUUAACCAUAAACUAUGCCGACUAGGGAUCGGAUGAUGUUAAUUUUUUAAUGACUCAUUCGGCACCUUACGGGAAAC
rnacentral:rRNA from 1 species